GUCGAGCGAGAAAGUAUCUUCGGAUAUGAGUAGAGCGGCGGACGGGUGAGUAACGCGUAGGAAUCUACCUAGUAGAAGGGGAUAGCCCGGGGAAACUCGGAUUAAUACCGUAUACCUCCUAAGGGAGAAAGAGGGCCUCUCUUGAAGCUCUCGCUAUUAGAUGAGCCUGCGUAAGAUUAGCUUGUUGGUAAGGUAAUGGCUUACCAAGGCUACGAUCUUUAGCUGGUCUGAGAGGACGAUCAGCCACAUUGGGACUGAGACACGGCCCAGACUCCUACGGGAGGCAGCAGUGGGGAAUAUUGGACAAUGGGCGCAAGCCUGAUCCAGCCAUACCGCGUGUGUGAAGAAGGCCUUCGGGUUGUAAAGCACUUUAAGCAGGGAGAAAAAGCAAUAAGUUAAUACCUUAUUGCCGUGAUGUUACCUGCAGAAUAAGCACCGGCUAAUUCCGUGCCAGCAGCCGCGGUAAUACGGAAGGUGCAAGCGUUAAUCGGAAUUACUGGGCGUAAAGCGCGCGUAGGUGGUUUGUUAAGUUGGAUGUGAAAGCCCUGGGCUCAACCUAGGAACUGCAUCCAAAACUAACUCACUAGAGUACGAUAGAGGGA
rnacentral:rRNA from 1 species